rnacentral:rRNA from 1 species
UAAUGGAGGUAGAGCACUGUUUGGACUAGGGGCCCUUCUCGGGUUACCGAAUUCAGAUAAACUCCGAAUGCCAUGUACUUAUACUCGGGAGUCAGACUGCGAGUGAUAAGAUCCGUAGUCGAAAGGGAAACAGCCCAGACCACCAGUUAAGGUCCCCAAAUAUAUGUUAAGUGGAAAAGGAUGUGGGGUUGCUUAGACAACCAGGAUGUUGGCUUAGAAGCAGCCACCAUUGAAAGAGUGCGUAAUAGCUCACUGGUCGAGUGACCCCGCGCCGAAAAUGUACCGGGGCUAAACAUAUUACCGAAACUGUGGAUGAACCUCUUUAGAGGUUCGUGGUAGGAGAGCGUUCUAAGGGCGGUGAAGUCAGACCGGAAGGACUGGUGGAGCGCUUAGAAG